CUUCUUCGAUGGUUCGACCUCUCCUGGUUCGAUCGAUCCCCACGCAAAGAAAAGUUGAGGAGAAACCCCUCGACAAGGAAAAACUGUCACGACCUCCACUUCUCCCACGACCUGCCAGUCUCAUCUCUCAUCUCCUGAUCUCUCUCCCCCGAUCCAGAAACACCCCGGCGGCCCCUGUCUCCCGGCUCCUGGGACCACCCGAGCACACUCCCUCUCCACCUUUUCUCCCUACUACCUCCACUAGCACCGCCCCCAUCCAUGAAACCGCCGUGCAUCUAUUCUGCGCAUCCAGCUACGCGCCGCCGACUAGGGAAGCCGAAAAGAGGAACUGCUGCCACCUCCGAUGGUAUCCUUCCUCGGCCAGGUAGGAACCUCCAUGUGCGGCCUGAGAUCUACAAUGAUGGGUGCAUCCGGUGCCUGGGUGUAUCAGGCGGCAGGGGGGGCGCCAUGGCGCCGAGAACUGGUCCAGCACCAUUGUCUCACAUAAGGACGGCCUGUCUCUUCCUCCUCCCCGCUCAAAUUUUUAUGGCAGCUGCCUAGGAGCUUCUUCUUCCUUUAUCUUGAUUUGUUACUCACACCCCUAGUACAAAUCUUCAGUUUUACUCCUAUAUUUCAAUCGACUGAUUUUGAUUGGUGCUAAGACGAAUUUUGUGGCCAUGUCCGAUGGAAGGCGCGAAUAUAGGCCUCCUCGGAGGAUCGGGUCCGUACGUGUCUCGUCUCCAUCAGUCACAACCAUGAGUGGACGAGCUGGUGGUAGGAAGCAAUGGAGGGGGUGGGCAUGGCGGCAAGGUCAGCAGGGAGACCCCAUCGCAUGCGCCCCAGCGGAAGCAGUAGGGGAAGGUGCCAUUGGCGAGACAGGCUGGUGGUAGGAAGCAAUGGAGGGGGUGGGCAUGGCGGCAAGGUCAGCAGGGAGACCCCAUCGCAUGCGCCCCAGCGGAAGCAGUAGGGGAAGGUGCCAUUGGCGAGACAGGACAGUACAAAAUUCACAUCCAAUUGAUAGAUAUACUGCUGGUUCUUCAUCUGGUUGCCUUGCCUAAAGUUUUAUAAAGGAAAUGGGGAACUAUACUAUUUACGAGCCCUGUUACCGCUAAGAUCCUUGUACUGGUAGUUUGUGCUAUAAAGAAAGAAGCGUCACUUUGGGCUACUACGGGUGCUCACGAAAGUAAUUUGUUCGUGUUGUGUCGCUGUGGCGGUGUGUCUUAUUACAAACUCUUCUUCUUAAUCAAUGAAGGCUACUACGGGUGCUCACGAAAGUAA